rnacentral:rRNA from 1 species
UGGGGAAUCUUAGACAAUGGGGGCAACCCUGAUCUAGCCAUGCCGCGUGAGUGAUGAAGGCCUUAGGGUUGUAAAGCUCUUUCAGCUGGGAAGAUAAUGACGGUACCAGCAGAAGAAGCCCCGGCUAACUCCGUGCCAGCAGCCGCGGUAAUACGGAGGGGGCUAGCGUUGUUCGGAAUUACUGGGCGUAAAGCGCACGUAGGCGGACUGGAAAGUUGGGGGUGAAAUCCCGGGGCUCAACCUCGGAACUGCCUUCAAAACUAUCAGUCUGGAGUUUGAGAGAGGUGAGUGGAAUUCCGAGUGUAGAGGUGAAAUUCGUAGAUAUUCGGAGGAACACCAGUGGCGAAGGCGGCUCACUGGCUCGAUACUGACGCUGAGGUGCGAAAGCGUGGGGAGCAAACA